rnacentral:tRNA from 1 species
GCACCUAUAGCUCAGUGGAUAGAGCAAUCGCUUCCGAAGCGGUGUGGCAAGGGUUCGAGUCCCUUUAGGUGUA